rnacentral:rRNA from 1 species
AAUACGUUCCCGGGCUUGUACACACCGCCCGUCAAGUCACGAAAGUCGGUAACACCCGAAGCCGGUGGCCUAACCCUUUUGGGAAGGAGCCGUCUAAGGUGGGAUUGGCGAUUGGGACU